rnacentral:lncRNA from 1 species
CUUAUAUUUUUAAGGAAGUAAGUUAUCAUACUUUUUUAAAAGUAUUUUAAAAGUAGGAACCACAAUCUUUGUAUGGAGCUGCUUAUUAUUAUAUCUAGUUUCAUUUGGCUCAUUGAAAACUCUGCCAUGAGUCUUAGUCUGUUUGUUUUUUAAAACGCUACUAUUGAGUUAAAUGGAUUUCUUUCUCUAAUUGCUAAAUGUUAAGAGUUUCUCUAAGUGUUAAUAGGAUAUUUGUAUAUUAGUAGUGCCUUUAGUAUGAAAUUAGUGUUCAUUAUUUGUCAUUUAUGAUAGUCAUGUGAGUUUCUAUGAUUUUAUUUUCUAUUAAUUUUCCUAGAUUCAGAUGUUCAUUGGUUCCCAACAUUUCAUUUUUGGGAAUACAUGUUUCUCUGUAGUAGGAUCUGAAGUAAUGAGGCUCAAGUAAUUCUGAGAGUGUGUCCUUUUUGCCUCACAAAGUAAUUUUUUUUUUUAUGGAAAUACAAAAAAGUUGAAUUGUGACAUAAGAUUAUGUUAACCUCUACUACUUUAAAGUGUAUGAUAUUUUUCACCUUAUGUAUCUGUACAAACUCCAGCAUUCAAGAAUUGCCUCACUCAUCAUUUCUCUGUGACCACCCUAUAUGAACAGUGUACAGCCCACAUCUUUAUUUAAGCACUGAAGAAGGAGCACAUGCCAUCUUCCAAAAACUUCAAGAGAAACUUUGAUAAGCAUAGUGCCACUGAACCCAUAUAAGGAGGUUUCCUCAAUAUUCAAACAAAGCAAACUGACAAUUCUAGAUGGAUAGGCAGUAAGUGUUUUCUUUUCCUUCUUCUCCUAAAGCAACUCAAGACUAAAGAGAAAUUAAAAUGGGAGAGAAACCCAUAAUGACC